UGUAUAACCAACUUAAUCACACACAAACCUUUUAAAAUUUACAUUUCAUUUAUAUAGACAUUUUUAUCACUUAAUUAUAUUCUUUUUUUUAAUUUAGAUGUUUUACAACUUUACUACAUAAAGAGUCUCUUACCCAGUGGAAGGUCCUAGCUUAGCAUCUGGAUGACCAUCUUAAGCAUCAGCUGCCAUCUUAAGAAAAAGUUGGCGCCCAAUGUGGUACCUGGACAUCUGAAACAGGAACCCUCUGGACGUGUUAUUGGGGAAGGGAGUGGCUUAUCACCUGGAGCAAGCUGAUGCAUGUCUUUCAUCAGCUAGUACUGAUCCCAUUGUUGUUAAAGAAACAACACUACACUGCCUUCUUUAAGCUCUACAAUACAUUAACAGAAAAUUGUUGCCAGUAAUGGUGAGUUGACCUCCUUUAUCAAAAGUGCCAUUAUUGUUGCUAAUUUUUGUUGGAAAACUUUACGUCUUUAUAUCAGUAAUUGCUAAUUGUGUACAUUAGAAUGGUUACACUCUCCUCAUUUUUUAGGCUGGAAUGUUCUGCCUUUUGCUGAUACAUAUGCAUCAUUAACGGCUGAUAGUUGCACUAAAAUUUUUAUCUUUAACAGGCUUGGACAUUCAUGUUUUAUAUCUCACUUAUGGAAAUAUUAUACAUCUCCAAUACUUACAAUUUUUCUCCUACUAUCAAGUUGUAUUAACAGAUUUUUUAUUUUAGCACCAAUUUCUUUUCACAUGUUUUAUGAUGGAUGAGUCUCUGUUAUGUCACGACUUUAUCUCUACCCUUCCUGUUGUAGUUAGGUCGAUGUUGUAUACAGAUGGAGGUAAGGAAAGCAGGUAGUAUCUGUUUUUAUUAAUGAUAAAUUCCUGGAUGUCUGAUGGAAAGUAACAGAAGAGAUACAGCUGUGAGGUCCCUUUGUUUUUUAUUUUAUUUUCAUCAAAAUCAUCACUCACUAAUGAAUAUGUUUUUUAUUUCUUCCCAACAGGCUUGUGCCAUUGUCAAUAACUAUUCUCACUGUAUGCCCUUCUGGGACCCCAUGUGAGAAUCUGUAAAUCCAUGGGGCCUACAUUCUAAUGCACUUUGGGAAAUGGACAUUAUCCAUUUCUUUGCCUUUCAUCCUUUUUGCUUUCUCCAUGUUUCCAUUAAGACUCAUUCUUCGUUCAUUUGAGCCAGUGCCCAAAGGUCUGAAAAGGUACAUGUUUGCAUUUCUCAUUUAUUACUCUGCUUUGACACUAUGGGCAAACCUACUCUUUUAAAAAUGUAUUCAUUUUUAAAAUAUAUGCCCCUUCAUAUAUGUCCUAUGCUUUUGCAUAAUUUUGUACUCAUUGGAUUGACUGUCACAGCUUAUAAACAAAGUAUGAAAUUGGCCUGUGAUAGGAUGAAAAGUAAUGAUCAUAACUCUACGGAAAUCAAUAUGCUAAAUGAAGAACAAAAAAAUCAUUAAGUCAUUCUUCAAUUGGGCUGCAAUUGAUUAUUUAUUAUUAUUACGUUAUAAACGUGUAAUGAUCAUAACAGUAUGACUUGCUUUAAUUUAAGGGACAAUAAUAACUCCAUUUCAAAAGAGUUAGAUUACCUUAAAGACAUCAUUAAAAAGGUCCAACAGGAUUAUGAAAGUUUACAUAUAUUGGAUUGGUUAACCAUGAGAUUAACCAAUCUUACUUGGAUUAAACAACUAGUCAUAGGUGACUGUUUACUAAUAUUGGGAUUGUCGUUUUGUUUUUGUUGUUGUUGAAGCCUAUCCUAUUUUUUACCUCCACCAAAUGAAAAACAAAAAAAAUGUUUAUUUUUUAAAAAUGUAAUCCAUCCAAAAGGCCACACAAAACAAAAAAGGAGGAGCAAUAAGUGUGUGACUGUGGAAAUGUGCUAAGCAGUAAGUGUCUCUGGUGAGCAAACUCCCAGAGAAUAAGAGGUGUCUUGUUUCCCACAGCUGGAACAUUCUGCAGUUUCUCCCAGACACUAUUACGAUAACUAAUGCAUGCUCAACCAGAACACCUAAUGUACUAAUGGUGCAUUGAGCUAAUGUAACCUAUCAGUAUAAAUAAAGACAGCUGCUUAGACAAGCGGCCAUGUUGCCUCUGCA